UUCUGAUAUGGUGGAGGCUAUUGGUGGAAGUCUUACUAAAGGAGCUUUUAAUAUUAUUUUAAGGAAAUUAGGAAUUGAGGAUAUUUUUACAAACACCUGUCAACUAUUGGAAUCUGGAAAAGAGUGUUCUACCACAUUACAAAUACCAAAUUCAUUGGGAGACAUAGUUCAGUGUGAAUUAACAGACAGUUGUUUAGGACUCAGUUGCUGUUUAGGACUGAAUUUCAAGUUGCCUUUUAAUGGAGAUGAUGUUGCAUACAAUAUUCCGUUUGGAUUUAAUUUAAGCCCUUGUGAUUUUGAAAUUGAAAUAAGUUUUGGAUCAUAUUACCAAAAGAUGGUUUUACUUGAGUAUG